rnacentral:lncRNA from 1 species
CCUUCAUGAAGGGCCUGGCUUGCUGGGCUAAGGUCACAGUGUUCUGAGGUCCCCACACGCACUCAGACUAGACCCUCCGUACACACCCAGGCUAGACCCUCCAUACACACCCAGGCUAGACCCUCCAUACUCACCCAGGCUAGACCCUCCAUACACACCCAGGCUAGACCCUCCAUACUCACCCAGGCUAGACCCUCCAUACUCACCCAGGCUAGACCCUCCGUACUCACCCAGGCUAGACCCUCCGUACUCACCCAGGCUAGACCCUCCGUACACACCCAGGCUAGACCCUCCGUACACACCCAGACUAGAGGCUUGGGGCUGAGAAAAGCAGUCAUGCCUCUU